rnacentral:rRNA from 1 species
GACGAACGCUGGCGGCGUGGAUUAGGCAUGCAAGUCGAACGGUAUCAUCCUUUCGGGGGUGAGAGAGUGGCGAACUGGUGAGUAACACGUAGGUUAUCUACCCUCAAGACGGGGACAACCCAGGGAAACUUGGGCUAAUACCGGAUGUGAGCAACUUUUAGUUGUUUGAAAGGUGGCGUAAGCUGUCGCUUGGGGAUGAGCCUGCGUCCUAUUAGUUAGUUGGUGAGGUAACGGCUCACCUAGGCAAUGAUAGGUAGGCGGCCUUAACGGGUGGUCGCCCACACUGGGAUUGAGAUACGGCCCAGACUCCUACGGGAGGCAGCAGUCGAGAAUAGUCUACAAUGGUCGGAAGACUGAUAGUGCGACGCCGCGUGAACGAUGAAUCCCUUCGGGGUGUAAAGUUCUUUUAUAUGUGAGCAGUGCUUCUUAUAUUAAACAGUAUGGGGAAGAGAUAUUAGCAUAUGAAUAAGCAACGGCUAAACUCCGUGCCAGCAGCCGCGGU